ACACUUUUAAACGGCCGCGGUAUUAUAACCGUGCAAAGGUAGCGUAAUCACUUGUCUCCUAAAUAGAGACCCGUAUGAAAGGCUAAAUGAGGACAAACCUGUCUCCUGUGACCAAUCAAUGAAACUGAUCUACCAGUACAAAAGCUGGAAUAAACCCAUAAGACGAGAAGACCCUGCGGAGCUUUUAAGCCACACGCUACACAAACCAAACAAAAUCCAAAAGAUUUAAAACAAAUUUCAUAGCGUCACACUUUAAGUUGGGGCAACUGCGGAGAAAAACAAAACCUCCAUGAAAACAGGCCACAAGCCGCCACGAAACACACAAGUAAAUUGGUAAACAAAUCUGACCCAGCACCGCUGAUCACCGAACCAAGUUACCCCAGGGAUAACAGCGCCAUCCCCCUAAAGAGUCCAUAUCGCCAGGGGGGCUUACGACCUCGAUGUUGGAUCAGGACACCCAGAUGGUGCAGCCGCUAUCAAUGGUUCGUUUGUUCAACGAUUAAUGUCCUACGUGAUCUGA
rnacentral:rRNA from 1 species